rnacentral:rRNA from 1 species
UGGGGAAUAUUGGACAAUUGGCGAAAGCCUGAUCCAGCCAUGCCGCGUGUGUGAAGAAGGUCUUCGGAUUGUAAAGCACUUUAAGUUGGGAGGAAGGGCAGUAAGCGAAUACCUUGCUGUUUUGACGUUACCGACAGAAUAAGCACCGGCUAACUCUGUGCCAGCAGCCGCGGUAAUACAGCGGGUGCAAGCGUUAAUCGGAAUUACUGGGCGUAAAGCGCGCGUAGGUGGUUCGUUAAGUUGAAUGUGAAAGCCCCGGGCUGAGCCUGGGAACUGCAUCCGAAACUGGCGAGCUAGAGUAGGGCAGAGGGUGGUGGAAUUGCCUGUGGAGCGGGGAAAUGCGUAGAUAUAGGAAGGAACGCCAGUGGCGAAGGCGACCACCUGGGGUCAUACUGACGCUGAGGUGCGAAAGCGUGGGGAGCAAACAGG